rnacentral:rRNA from 1 species
AUUGAACGCUGGCGGCAGGCCUAACACAUGCAAGUCGAGCGAGCGGCGGACGGGUGAGUAAUGUAUGGGGACUGCCCGCUAGAGGGGGAUAACUACUGGAAACGGUAGCUAAUACCGCAUACUAUCGGAUGACCCAUAUGGGAUUAGCUAGUAGGUUGGGUAAUGGCUCACCUAGGCGACGAUCCCUAGCUGGUCUGAGAGGAUGAUCAGCCACACUGGGACUGAGACACGGCCCAGACUCCUACGGAGGCAGCAGUGGGGAAUAUUGGACAAUGGGCGAAAGCCUGAUGCAGCCAUGCCGCGUGUAUGAAGAAGGCCAUAGGGUUGUAAAGUACUUUCAGUCGUAAGGCGUUACCGUCCGAAUAAGCACCGGCUAACUCCGUGCCAGCAGCCGGGGUACUUC